rnacentral:rRNA from 1 species
GACGAACGCUGGUGGCGUGCUUAACACAUGCAAGUCGAACGAUGAAGAAGAGAAACGCGAACUUCGGUUCAAAUUUCACUUCGGAUUAGUGGCAGACGGGUGAGUAACGCGUGAGCAACCUACCUCUUACAAAGGGAUAGCCUCGGGAAACCGUGAUUAAUACCAUAUGACACAUUCAUAAGGCAUCUUAAGAAUGUUAAAGCUACGGCGGUAAGAGAUGGGCUCGCGUCCCAUUAGCUAGUUGGUGAGGUAACGGCCCACCAAGGCGACGAUGGGUAACCGGCCUGAGAGGGUGAACGGUCACAUUGGAACUGAGACACGGUCCAAACUCCUACGGGAGGCAGCAGUGGGGAAUAUUGCACAAUGGAGGGAACUCUGAUGCAGCGACGCCGCGUGAGCGAUGAAGGAAUUCGUUUCGUAAAGCUCUGUUCUAUGGGAAGAAAAGGACUGUACCAUAGGAGAAAGCCCCGGCUAAAUACGUG